rnacentral:rRNA from 1 species
GUCGAGCGGACCGACGGGAGCUUGCUCCCUUAGGUCAGCGGCGGACGGGUGAGUAACACGUGGGUAACCUGCCUGUAAGACUGGGAUAACUCCGGGAAACCGGGGCUAAUACCGGAUGCUUGAUUGAACCGCAUGGUUCAAUCAUAAAAGGUGGCUUUUAGCUACCACUUACAGAUGGACCCGCGGCGCAUUAGCUAGUUGGUGAGGUAACGGCUCACCAAGGCGACGAUGCGUACCCGACCUGAGAGGGUGAUCGGCCACACUGGGACUGAGACACGGCCCAGACUCCUACGGGAGGCAGCAGUAGGGAAUCUUCCGCAAUGGACGAAAGUCUGACGGAGCAACGCCGCGUGAGUGAUGAAGGUUUUCGGAUCGUAAAACUCUGUUGUUAGGGAAGAACAAGUACCGUUCGAAUAGGGCGGNACCUUGACGGUACCUAACCAGAAAGCCACGGCUAACUACGUGCCAGCAGCCGCGGUAAUACGUAGGUGGCAAGCGUUGUCCGGAAUUAUUGGGCGUAAAGCGCGCGCAGGCGGUUUCUUAAGUCUGAUGUGAAAGCCCCCGGCUCAACCGGGGAGGGUCAUUGGAAAC